GAUGCCAGGGUCAAAAGGUCUAAAUCCACAUGAGCUUGCUCAUAGGUGGAUGAAAGACCUUGGGACCCGCCCCGAUAUGAGCAUAAAAGUGGGAUGAUAAUCCCACGAUAUGCGAAUACCGGAGAGGAUUGUGGGAGUGCAACGCACGGAACAAUCCGUAGGCAUC
rnacentral:sRNA from 1 species